UGAUAAAAAAAAAUCUUGAUCCGCUUAAUUGAUCAACUUAAUCUAGAGAAAGCAAAGCGUAACCAAGGAAACUAAAGAAACAUAACCAUGUAUAUAUUGAUCAACUUAAUAGUGUCGAUCGUCGUCAAACUUUAAUUAAAGAUCAUCUAUUUGUUCCAUUCCACAACUAGUCAAGAAGAGUCUGAGAGCUCUUCGGGGAUCAAAGCGAACCAAGAAAGCGGAUUUGGGGAAUACUUGACAAGUUUGUCUUGAUCUUCGACGUAAGCUGUAUCUUGAUUUUGGUGCAUGGAAACGCCAUUCUUAGUCUUCUUAUUGGCCUGAAUAUUGUUCUUGCCUUGGUGAACCCUAAAGCCAAGACUUCUUGGCCAUUCAAGAUCAUCGCCGCUGACAUCUUUCUUCUGCGUCUGGAUGGUCACAGCGGCUACACGACCAGGUGCAUCAUUAAAAGGCACGGUCUGGGGACGAGGGUAGUAGAAAUCUGUGGGGAAAAAGUUAUACUGAAGGCCGGCCAUAUGGAAAAUCAAGACUUAACUCAAAUAUUGAAUCAAGAAACUGUGAAGAAUUGUUUUAAACAGUUAUC
rnacentral:lncRNA from 1 species